AAACUAUUUGUAUUUGAGAGUGCGUGUUUCCGUUACCGUUACCGUUUCAUGUGAAGGCGACUAUACGCCGCAAUAUGUAUAUGCGUGCUUCUGGUGUUGUGUUUAUUGAUGGUUAAACUGCUUUCUCAUUAAUUGAAAUGCCAAAUAGCCUCAGCUGCUCUACUGACUGAAAAUACACUUGCAUUUGAUCAUUCUACGUGCAAAUCCUAACCGGGUAUGAAGCCUCGGCAGCCCAAUCGAGACGAGAAACUGGAAACAUUACCUUCAAUAUUUUACUAAAGGAAGUUAUCUGAACUUACGAAGGUUAUCGUUUGAAUAUACUGACUAAAUGCGAGUGCGAUUUCGUUCUUAAUGCGUUGUCUCCAAGUGUGGGUGCAAAUAUUCCAAG